GCUCUUCAUUCCCGGAUCCGCAAUCGUUCAUAUUCUCUCCCAAUUUUCAAAAUCCAAAAUCUCCGAUUUCGAUUUCCAACUUCUGCAUAUCCACAGAUGUAUUGCAAUCGAUUCAGUUUUUAAAUCAAAAGACAAUUCAUUUGAGAUAUGUUUUCUGCAAAUACUUAUAUUUGCAUAAUGCUGUUACAAUUCGUUUCAGUUCCUACAACUGUCACAUAAUCCUAUUGGGUUUUCAAUUGAAAAGGUAAUUUUUUUGUUAUGAGAAAUUAAAAUGAUCAAGGUUUGAGGAGCUAAAAUUUCUAAAUUUUUUAAACUUUAAUGCUAUUAUACUCUCUAAA